ensembl:lncRNA
GAGACCAUCCUGGCCAACAUGGUGAAACCCUAUCUCUACUAAAAAUACAAAAAAAUUAGCUGGGCAUGGUGGCGCAUGCCUGUAGUCCCAGCUACUCGGGAGGCUGAGGCAGGAGAAUUUCUUGAACCUGGGAGUUGGAGGUUGCAGUGAGCCAAGAUCGCACCACUGCACUCCAGCCUGGUGACAGAGUGAGACUCUGUCUCAUUGAAAAAAAAAAAAAAAAAAAGAAAUACACUAUUAACAACUGCUAUCGCUAAGGUUUUUUUUUUUUUGAGACGGAGUCUGGCUCUGUCACCCAGGCUGGAGUGCAGUAGCGCGAUCUUGGCUCACUGCAACCUCUGCCUCUUGGGUUCAGUGAUUCUCCUGCCUCAGUCUCCUGAGUAGCUGGGAUUACAGACGCACAUCACCACGCCUGGCUAAUUUUUGUAUUUUUAGUAGAGACAGGGUUUCACCGUGUUGACUAGGCUGGUCUCGAACUCCUGACCUCAGGUGAUCCACAUGCCUCGGCCUCCCAAAGUUCUGGGAUUACAGAUGUGAGCCACUGUGUCCUGCCAGCACUAAGUAUUGACUAUCUUGUUUUCAGAGCAAGGAGAAAACUUUUAGAAAACAUGGUUCUAGCCCUAGUUGUUUCUUAAUUAGUUUCUUCAGCUUUAGUAUGGCAUCUGAAGGCAAUUGCAUCAUAUUUCAUAAUCACCCGGCUGAACUAUUUGCUGUUUAGUCCAGCACUGGGCACUGAGGCUAAAAGGUCUUUAAUCCAAACAGCCUCAGCAUUCACCCAACCUGAGCCUAUGGGACCCCAAGCAGAUCUGGAUUCACUGUCACUUGCCAUCUACCCGCCUGGCCCUCUCUUCCUAUGACAGAAAUAAACGCUGUAGCCCUGUAGCUAUUUCACCCCACCUACAUACCCUGCACCCCUCAUACCCCCCAUCUGACUUCCCUGGCUGAGAAGUUGGUACUGCCCUCUAGAGCAGGCCCUGUCACCAGUGCACCCCUCAGUCCACAGGGGUGUGUCGUUAAUAUGUUGCAGUUGAUGCCUCUCUCUUAAAAAAAAAAAAAAAAAAAGGUGGUUGUCACCUUGGUGACUCACACAGGGCUUGCCAGCUCAAACUCUGGAAUCUGUAUAUCUGUCUCAAGUCUCAGGUCUCCCACCUGACCACACUUUGCUCUGUUUGUAGUUAAUUAAAUUGACAUUAAUCAAGACCCAGGUGAGGGGCAGUGAGGUAAUAGUUUGCUUGUAUUGCUUUAAUAUCAUCUGAUUAAUCAUCGUAGCAUGAAGGAGUUCCCAAAAUAUACAGCCACCAUGUUAGGGUGAAAAACCUGGAUAUUUGCCCUAAACUAUCCUUGCACUUGGGAUCAGGGAGCUCUCUGAAUUCCUAUACCUAGUCACCUGUUUGAGAAUAAGACUUUUGUUUGUUUGGUUUCUGAAUUUGAACAUUUGAAUUUCUUUGUAGCAAAGCAAAGCAAAUUAGUGACAUAACUGGGUCAGGGAAAGUGAUUGGGAGUCAACAGUUUGUAUUUUGUAUCAUUUUUAGGUUAAAUUCUCUUUUGGCCUAGGGGAGGUUGUGCCAGAUGUUGCAUUAAGUAGUGGGAAGAUUUUGGGGGGCAGGGCGGUGUGUGUGUGUGGGGGUGGGAGGUGGCAGGGUGGAAUCAACUACAAAAAGUUGACAAUUGUAUGUAGAACUGAACAUAGGAUUAGAAAGGAGCUUUUUUGACUCUCUGUUUAAGGGGACAUACAGGAGAAAAACAAUUUUGUUUUCUUUUUAGAAAACAAUUUAUAAAACUUGUUCUACAUGAAGCGAUUUUCAGGUUUGCAGUUGAGACCCAGUCAUUGUUGGGCAUUACAUUGAUUUUCUUUUCAAAUGAAGUAGAAUAGAAAAUAACAGUACAGGCCAGGCGCGGUGGCUCAAGCCUGUAAUCCCAGCACUUUGGGAGGCCGAGACAGGUGGAUCAUGAGGUCAGGAGAUCGAGACCAUCCUGGCUAACACAGUGAAACCCCGUCUCUACUAAAAAAUAUAAAAAACUAGCCCUGGGCGAGGUGGCAGGUGCCUGUACUCCCAGCUACUCGGGAGGCUGAGGCAGGAGAAUGGCAUAAACCCAGGAGGCAGAGCUUGCAGUGAGCUGAGAUCCAGCCACUGCACUCCAGCCUGGGCAACAGAGCAAGACUCCGUCUCAAAAAAAAAAAAAAAAA